GCACUCUAAUGAGACUGCCGGUGACAAACCGGAGGAAGGUGGGGAUGACGUCAAGUCCUCAUGGCCCUUAUGGGUAGGGCUUCACACGUCAUACAAUGGUACAUACAGAGGGCCGCCAACCCGCGAGGGGGAGCUAAUCCCAGAAAGUGUAUCGUAGUCCGGAUUGUAGUCUGCAACUCGACUGCAUGAAGUUGGAAUCGCUAGUAAUCGCGGAUCAGCAUGUCGCGGUGAAUACGUUCCCGGGUCUUGUACACACCGCCCGUCACACCAUGGGAGCGGGUUUUACCAGAAGUAGGUAGCUUAACCGCAAGGAGGGCGCUUACCACGGUAGGAUUCGUGACUGGGGUGAAGUCGUAACAAGGUAGCCGUAUCGGAAGGUGCGGCUGGAUCACCUCCUUU
rnacentral:rRNA from 1 species